rnacentral:lncRNA from 1 species
CUUUCCUCUUUACUCUUCAGCACAAAGACAGGCAAGAUGGCAUUGAUUUGUGGAGCUCUAAUGACCUGCCAUAAAAAAAUGAACUAUGAGAAAAAUAAGGCAGUUCGGGCAAACACAUGUAGGAACACCAAUGAUGAACAAGCAUUGCCCUUCUGGGGUGGAGAGACUCGAGGAUGGGUAUGGGGCUCUCAUGAACAGCCAAGGUGGCAGCUUCACUACUCAGUUGCAGGAACAUUUAAAGAAUAUUGGAAGAAGACAGAAAAAACCAUCUUAGAAUAAGUAACAAAUGAAGAAUGAAAGAUUAACCAAGUUGUUUCUCCAAUAUUAAAAUAAAUUAUCAUUUACAAUUAAUACUUACAUUGCCUUUACAGUUUCAUUUUUCCCCCUGAACAAUAGAACUAUUGCGGCAUAAAAACCCCACUUGAAUCCAACUUUUUUCUCUUUUCAUUAAUUUGGCAACAGCUGAAAAACCACCUUUAUUUUCCACACUGUACCAGAGUAUGUGUUGUAUGUACAAAUUAACCAUUUCAAAUUAUUUUAAGCUGAC